GUCCGCCUUUGUGUUGUGUACUUGUACCGCCACCGGCAUCUUCCUAGGGACUGUGUCUGCUCUUCAUUGAGUGGCGCAUAAUCUAGGACUUUUACUUUGAGGAAAUAGGAGUGUUUCAAGCCGGCAUGCGCCGCGAACACGUUAGCAUGGAAUAAUAGCAUCGGACCUCGCUCCAAAGCUGUUGGUUUCUUGGAACGAGGUAAAGGUGAAUAGGGAUUGUUGGGGGCAUUCGUAUUUAACUGUCAGAGGUGAAAUUCUUGGAUUUGUUGAAGACGGACUACUGCGAAAGCAUCAGCCAAAGAUGUUCUCAUUGAUCAAGAACGAAAGUUAGGUGAUCGAAGACGAUCAGAUACCGUCCUAGUCUUAACCAUAAACUAUGCCGACUGGAGAUCGGGGGUCGUUAACUUUGUGACGCCCUCUGCAUCUUGAGAGAAAUCAAAGUCUUUGGGUUCCGGGGGGAGUAUGGUCGCAAAGGCUGAAACUUAAAGGAAUUGACGGAAGGGCACCACCAGGAGUGGAGCCUGCGGCUUAAUUUGACUCAACACGGGGAAACUUACCAGGUCCAGAC
rnacentral:rRNA from 1 species